GAUGAAUAACGUAGCGAAAUGCGAUAAGUAAUGUGAAUUGCAGAAUUCAGUGAAUCAUCGAAUCUUUGAACGCACAUUGCGCCCGCCAGUAUUCUGGCGGGCAUGCCUGUUCGAGCGUCAUUUCAACCAUCAAGCCCCCGGGCUUGUGUUGGGGACCUGCGGCUGCCGCAGGCCCUGAAAAGCAGUGGCGGGCUCGCUGUCACACCGAGCGUAGUAGAUUUUAUCUCGCUCUGGGCGUGCUGCGGGUUCCGGCCGUUAAACCACCCUUUUAACCCAAGGUUGACCUCGGAUCAGGUAGGAAGACCCGCUGAACUUAAGCAUAUCAAUAAGCGGAGGA
rnacentral:misc_RNA from 1 species